GUUGUUGCCGAGCAAGCAAAGCUGCUUUGCAAAGCUCGUUCGGUGGUUUAAAUCCUAGCCAGAUGCUACUGUGGGGGCUGAAGGACGAGGGUGGGUGGCCCAGGGCUCCACCCUAGUUACAUAGCCUGGAGGCAGGGAGCAGACACCUGCCUGCCCUCGUCGCCCCGGCCAGCCUUCGCCCUCCUCCACUCUGUUCCCCCUCGCUGGGCAGAUCUGAUUCAAAGCAACCGGUGGUGGGACCGCCAGGUGCCCAGCUGUCCCAGCUGAAAGGCCUCGCCUUUGCCGCCGCCCCAGCUCCGAGCAAGACAGAACUGCCUCCAGGAGGAGGUGCUCACGCCACCAACUCACACGGUUUAGGGCCGCCCUGUGAAAUGCAGACAAUCCUGUCUCCUGUGGGCAGGACUGGACGGGCGAAAGGCCAAAGGAAAAAGGAGACUUAAAUGGCAAGCCACCAACCUGUUUAAGUUGAGCAUCCAUCUAAAGAUCUAGCCAGCAAUGCCCAGGCAGCUACAAAACAAGAGCUAGGGCAG
rnacentral:lncRNA from 1 species